rnacentral:miRNA from 1 species
AGGCGCCCUGGGGGGCCGAACGGC